UUCCGGUUGAUCCUGCCGGACCCCACUGCUAUCGGGAUGAGACUAAGACAUGCUAGUCGUGCACCUCCAAGCCACGGUGGAGGCGCGGCGCACAGCUCAGUAACACGUGGCUAACCUACCCUUGGGACGGAAAUAACCCCGGGAAACUGGGGCUAAUUUCCGAUAGGUGAAGAUUCCUGGAAUGGAUCUUCGCCGAAAAGGCGUCUAGACCAUGCUUCUAGGCGCUGCCCAAGGAUGGGGCCGCGGCCGAUCAGGUUGUUGGUGAGGUAACGGCUCACCAAGCCUAUAACCGGUACGGGCCGUGGGAGCGGUAGCCCGGAGAUGGGCACUGAGACAAGGGCCCAGGCCCUACGGGGCGCAGCAGUCGCGAAACCUCCGCAAUACGCGAAAGCGUGACGGGGUCAUCCCGAGUGCCGUCCGCUGAGGAUGGCUUUUCCCCAGUGUAGACAGCUGGGGGAAUAAGGAGAGGGCAAGUCGGGUGUCAGCCGCCGCGGUAAUACCCGCUCUCCGAGUGGUGGGGACGCUUAUUGGGCCUAAAAGCAUCCGUAGCCGGCUGGACAAGUCCCCUGUUUAAAUCCAGCGAUUUAAUCGUUGGACUGCGGGGGAUACUGUCCGGCUAGGGGGCGGGAAAAGGCCGACGGUUAAUUCCGGGGUAGGGGUGAAAAUCCUAUAAUCCCCGGGAGAAC
rnacentral:rRNA from 1 species